UGGAUAUGUUUUGAGGAUUGCAAAAACACGAAGAAUGGUACAUGAGAGAAAAUUGUUCUAAAGUGCGCUCGUAGUAAAUUUUGAACAAAUACGGUAUUUUCGUCGGAAAAUUCUACUCUAAAAAUAGCCAUGUAAAGGGACGAAACUCUUGAUCUCCUUGAAGAGCUUGGCGUAAAGGUAAAUAAAAACAUGUUGUGACGUAAUGCGGAAGUGAUAUCGGUUGCUUGAAAAAUGGAUUUUUGUCAAAUUACAGUGAACAAGUUAUUGUGAGAUAGUCUGAUUACUUUGGAGCCGCCAGAUUGUGUAUGAAAUCCUGAACAAAGUAUUUCAACAACUUUUUCAUGAACCACAGAAACUUUACCUUUUUAAAUUGUAGGACCAGACAUUGUGAGAAAGUUUGAUUGCAUUCACUGCCAGAGCUGAAGCUAGAAAAGAAACUAAACAACUUCUUCUCAUGAUCUGCUUAAUUGAUCUUCACAUUGAAUUGUCAACCUGUAUGCUACAUUGUAUAAUGACGUUGAGCAAAUAAAGAUACUGCAGUUAGCGUUACAACCUUCAUUAAACAGAAUGAAUUGGUGUUACAGAAAUGGAUAACAUAUGGAGACAAACACUUUCAGGCUACAGAAACUACACUAUGAGACUAUGAGAAUGGCUUAUUUUCAUGAUGGAACUCAUACCACAAAGAAAGAACUUGCUUUAUCUUGUUUCUUAUAACUAGUCCUCAAAGACAUACCCAAGUAAACUACAACAGGAAUGAAAGCAAACAAAGUUGAUUCAGGAUUUAGAAUUGAAUGUUUUUGUGUCAACAGUGUGUGAAAACUGCGGAAAAUAGGAUUUUAAUUUCAAGGAUUUGAUUUAGUAUGUCAAGGAGUGAUUUGUUUAUAAUUCAUCACACAAAUUAUUGACAAUGCUCUAAAAUAUAAAUAUGAUGUGUAAAUACAGACUUUCAUACCUAACUAAAAUAAUGUUGAACUCAACAGAAUAAACAAACUACCAUCUGUUGUAUAAUAUAUUAGUUGAUUUAUCAAACUUUGUCAGUUUUGUUACAUUACUUAUCAUUGAUAGAAUCUAUUAUCGUAUAACUCUUUACAGUGUGUCAAGUACUCAUCAUUAUAAGCUAUUUUGAAAUAAUUACAGGACUGAUAUUUUACUGGUAUUAGUUAAAUGUGUUGUUAUUAGACCCCUUACAUUUGAAAGUGAGUUUUCUUUAUACAUACAGGAUUCUGCUAUUCCGUCUGUCGGCUAGUCCAGUCUGUCAGAUCUUUGUCCAGAAAUUACAUUUGAAAUAAAAUAUAGCAUCAUUUUCA